UGAGGAAUAUUGGUCAAUGGGCGCAAGCCUGAACCAGCCAUGCCGCGUGCAGGAAGACGGUCCUAUGGAUUGUAAACUGCUUUUAUACAGGAAGAAACAUUUCGACGUGUCGAGACUUGACGGUACUGUAGGAAUAAGGAUCGGCUAACUCCGUGCCAGCAGCCGCGGUAAUACGGAGGAUCCAAGCGUUAUCCGGAAUCAUUGGGUUUAAAGGGUUCGUAGGCGGCUUUGUAAGUCAGUGGUGAAAUCUUUCAGCUUAACUGAGAAACUGCCAUUGAUACUGCAGGGCUUGAAUUACUUUGAAGUAACUAGAAUAUGUAGUGUAGCGGUGAAAUGCUUAGAUAUUACAUGGAAUACCAAUUGCGAAGGCAGGUUACUAAGAGUUUAUUGACGCUGAUGA
rnacentral:rRNA from 1 species